rnacentral:rRNA from 1 species
GGACGAACGCUGGCGGCGUGCCUAAUACAUGCAAGUCGAACGGUCUUUCUAUGGAAGCUUGCUUCCACUGAAAAGAUAGUGGCGAACGGGUGAGUAACACGUGGGUAACCUGCCCAUAAGAGGGGGAUAACAUCCGGAAACGGGUGCUAAUACCGCAUAGUUUUCUUGAUCGCAUGAUCGGGAAAGGAAAGACGGCCUUUGUGCUGUCGCUUAUGGAUGGACCCGCGGCGUAUUAGUUAGUUGGUGAGGUAACGGCUCACCAAGACGAUGAUACGUAGCCGACCUGAGAGGGUGAUCGGCCACAUUGGGACUGAGACACGGCCCAAACUCCUACGGGAGGCAGCAGUAGGGAAUCUUCCGCAAUGGACGAAAGUCUGACGGAGCAACGCCGCGUGAGUGAAAGAAGGUUUUCGGAUCGUAAAACUCUGUUGUCAGAGAAGAACAAGUUGGAGAGUAACUGCUCCAGCCUUGACGGUAUCUGACCAGAAAGCCACGGCUAACUACGUGCCAGCCGCCGC